UACGUAGGUGGCAAGCGUUAUCCGGAAUUAUUGGGCGUAAAGCGCGCGCAGGUGGUUUCUUAAGUCUGAUGUGAAAGCCCACGGCUCAACCGUGGAGGGUCAUUGGAAACUGGGAGACUUGAGUGCAGAAGAGGAAAGUGGAAUUCCAUGUGUAGCGGUGAAAUGCAUAGAGAUAUGGAGGAACACCAGUGGCGAAGGCGACUUUCUGGUCUGUAACUGACACUGAGGCGCG
rnacentral:rRNA from 1 species